rnacentral:rRNA from 1 species
UUUCCUACGGGACGCAGCAGUGAGGAAUAUUGGUCAAUGGGCGGGAGCCUGAACCAGCCAAGUCGCGUGAGGGAAGACGGUCCUAUGGAUUGUAAACUUCUUUAGGCGGGGAGCAAUGCCGGGCACGCGUGCCCGGAGGGAGAGUACACGCAGAAUAAGCAUCGGCUAACUCCGUGCCAGCAGCCGCGGUAAUACGGAGGAUGCGCGUGUUAUCCGGAUUUAUUGGGUUUAAAGGGCGCGUAGGCGGAUUUUUAAGUCAGCGGUAAAAUGUCCGGGCUCAAUCCGGGCCGGCCGUUGAAACUGGG